rnacentral:snRNA from 1 species
GCAUGUUAGGGCCAUCUGGCUGCAACUGGUCACCAGGGUUGAUUCACCAGAUCCGGCUGGCUAGGUGGAUGUCCCCUUCAUCCCUCACUGUUUUGCGUCCCUCCUGAAGCUGCCGGUGGAAGUGACAACCUUCCCCAGAUAGAGGAGGACCAUCUUCGGUCGAGGGUAUGCCAGUAGGUGCGCUUCUAAACAAGCUCUCAAUUAUCAUAUUUUAAUUUGCCUGAACAUAAUUACAUAUAUGAGCAUUUGCUCCUU